rnacentral:rRNA from 1 species
ACGUAGGGUGCGAGCGUUAAUCGGAAUUACUGGGCGUAAAGCGUGCGCAGGCGGUGAGCUGUGUCCGAUGUGAAAGCCCCGGGCUUAACCUGGGAACGGCAUUGGAUACUGGCUUACUAGAGUGCGGUAGAGGGUAGUGGAAUUCCCGGUGUAGCAGUGAAAUGCGUAGAUAUCGGGAGGAACAUCUGUGGCGAAGGCGACUACCUGGACCAGCACUGACACUGAGGCACGAAAGCGUGGGGAGCAAACAGGA